rnacentral:rRNA from 1 species
CAGUAGCCGCGGGAAUACGGAGGGUGCAAGCGUUAAUCGGAAUUACUGGGCGUAAAGCGCACGCAGGCGGUCUGUCAAGUCAGAUGUGAAAUCCCCGGGCUUAACCUGGGAACUGCAUUUGAAACUGGCAGGCUAGAGUCUUGUAGAGGGGGGUAGAAUUCCAGGUGUAGCGGUGAAAUGCGUAGAGAUCUGGAGGAAUACCGGUGGCGAAGGCGGCCCCCUGGACAAAGACUGACGCUCAGGUGCGAAAGCGUGGGGAGCAAACAGGAUUAGAUACCCCUGUAGUCCCUGUCUCUUAUAU